UUACAGUUUUUCUUUUAAUUAUUGCUUUUGCUGCUUUCUGGAUCAACCAAAUACUGUGUUUGUUUAGGUUUUGCAAAGGGAUAUAUUUAGAUAUCUUUUAUAUUAGUUAACGGAUAUAUCAUACAUAAUAUCUCCGUUAUUAGCAAAGAUAGAAGAAAAUAGUAUGAUACUUCUUCUUCUUAACCCAUUUGCUGCCGAUCACGCGCUAGCGCGUUAUACGUUUACUACAGUCAGGAUUUAGACAAAAUUCAGUCAGGGUGCCGUUCACGCGCCAGCGAGUGAUAUGGUUGAUAGAGAUGGAAAAUUAAAUGACACAAUUUCAAUUUCAAGGCGCAAAUCUGCGUGUAUGAUCAUCUUUUCCCUUUAAAACUUUUCGAGUCCCGUGUAUUUGGUCAAUUUGGUGACUAAUACAACCAUAAAGAAAAUAAUUGGUUAUGGUAGCCUUAAGGUGACGGUAGUUUAAGAUUUUUAUAUAUUGGUGGUAGUACCAUGUUAUCUAAUAUGCAUGUAAUAUGGAAGGUUGUAGGUUCAGA
rnacentral:lncRNA from 1 species